rnacentral:lncRNA from 1 species
GUACAGCUUGUUGAAAAAUAUCACAACAAAAUUAAAAUGAUAUCUCCUUCAAACUGCAAUAUCAAUGAUAUAUAAGAAAAAUUUGAUGGUUUGCUAAGCAUACCUGGUCUGUGGGAAAACACGUUUUCAAUAGUUAUCAAACAAAUUUCGAAAAUGUUUCACUCACCCCCUCCCUUCCUGUGUGUUGUAGUUGGACCUCCAGACCAGAGGGUGGCAGCAUUAUACGUUAAGCUUUUUCGACGUUAAAAGAAGAAGAGAAGACAUUCGCAGGGAGUUAUGUGAUAGACUGACCAUCGGAGGACAUGAGUGUUACAUUGAUGUCUCUGAAAGUAAAAUGUUGCACUCAUGUGUUCAGCAACCAAGGCGGCAACAUAGUUCAGGUAUUUUAUAUGAAUAUAGUUAGACUGCUUUGACACGUCUAUGAUUUGACCACAGUCAUGGUAGAGGAGCAAUCGUCUCGAGGACCACGUGCCUGUCUGUGCCUCCACGUGAAAGAGGUAAGAGGGAGCAGAUUUGAUCGACUUCAUUAUUCAUCGUGAACAAAACUGGUCUGUUAGUUUAUCUUAUGUCACGUUUUGUCACGAGGAUAGCGUGUUUCUUUCUACAAAGUCACGAUCCUUUGCUUUGACAAAGUCAGCAUGGCCGAAUUCUGUACCGACCAGCCUGUGUCGGCUACAGUCAGACACCAUGCGAAAGUCUCGUCUCAUUUCUGCUUUAUAAUCGGAUGAGUGCUACCUACAACUUCAUCCAGCUGUGCAAAAAUGAGUACAAUACUCCAUUAAAUCAUGACACCCAUUCAACUUUCAAGUAUUUGUAUUGAUUUCUCUUCUGUUUGGUCAUUUCUGAAGGGCACAUGGUACUGCAUCUGGACCUUGGACAUGAGAAAACCCAGUCUCAAACUCAUGCUUGGAAGGUAACAAUGAAAAACCUGAAAUAUCAGCACCAAAGGGCGUGUUUAACAUAAGGGUCAUUCCAAAAAAUCGGUGCCUUUUGCGUCCCCAAGAAGUAAUCAGUCAUAAAAUUAUAACAACAAAUUAAUAUAUAAUUUAAAAAUAUAACCUUACCAUGUCUUCUCUCCUGAAUAUAACGUCAAAUUAAAGUCGAUUAAAUAUCAUUUUUAAUAAUUAAAAUUAUUUUUAUGCUGAUGAGGGUAAGGUCUUUGGCCUGUCCCUCACUACUAUUGUUGUACAUAUACAGGACUUAAAAUUUUUAAUAUGUACCAUAUAUUGCAUAUUUCUAAUGAGAAAUAUUGUAUUUUGUACUUCUGAUUGUAAAAUGUUUUCCCCUCUGUUAUAAUAAACUAUUGUGUGUCAAGAAUAA